ensembl:lncRNA
AAUUGAAUAUAAACUAAGGUGUAUUUUUCCUAUGGGUUUUUUAUUUCCAUCCAUAGUGUGAGAUACACUUAUCUUAAUACUAUGUAAUCAUCAAUCUUGUGAAAUGGAGAGAAACAGAUACUUUCAUUUUUCAGUCAUUAAUAUGACUUUCUGUCUGAGUCAGAACCUCUGUAACAUAUAGUAUAGAAUUCAGUGUUCCAUCUUCUAGUCAGUGGAGAGAAAUUAUAAAAUUUAAAGAAUAUGACAAAAUAUAGAAAACAGUAUUAGAUUGUAAAUAUUGAAAACAAUCUACAGUCAAUGGGUUAACACUGAGAUUGAAAUGCAUAUUCAUAAUGAAUGCAAAGCAGAAGUGUUCAGAAAUUGGUAUCUAUUUGUACAGAUAGAAAACUUCUCAUAUUCAAUACAGAAACUCCUUUACUUUUUUCUAGUAUACAUACUUGUUUCCAACAUCAUCAUAUUUAAAGAAAAACUGUACAAACUAAUAAAAUAAUAAAUACAUUUUAAUGGUGUAGGAAACAAUUGAUUUAAUUUCCACAGCUCUGUGGUUGUUUUAAUCAGAGCUGGAUUUAAAAAGGAGCCUAGAAACAGAUAUUUUCUGAAUAAAAAUAUAUUUGUUCUUAUGAGACACUUUUCAGCUCUGCUGUGAGCUAAAAAGAAAAAUGGGAAUUCUUGCAUAGAAAUUUCAAUUGCUCAUUUUGCUGUUGAGCUCUGAGAAAUGUCUAAAAAUCACAAAUUGAUUCUUCAUAAGUUCUACAUAUCUCAAUGCACGGGGCUGAACUUAGUGUGGUUAAUUUGGUACGUAUAUGUAUGAGAAAUAACAACAUUAAUAAUAUAAAUUAAUCUGGAUGAUUCAUGUAGAUUUAACAUGUUGCUGUUCUAAUUUAUGAAGUAAGGAAAGUGUUAAGUAUAACUAUUUCUUACAUUACAUCAUUACAUCAGAUAAAAUUUAUUCAAAAAGCAUAUUUUGUUUUUUAGUGAAUAUAGAAAAUACAAAAACAGUAAAAUAUUUCCUUUUCAACUUCGAUAUUCUGCAAUUAUAUUAAGUUUUAAAUCUAUAUUCUCUUUAGAAGAUAUGGAUGUUUCCUUUUUUUUUUUUUCCCCCAAUGUCUAUGUUCAUGCCACUAAAAGGUAUGUAAAGAUGACAACUCAUAGGUUUGCAUUCUAAGAUUAUUACUUAAGCUAUGUACUAGAUAAUCAAUGGACACUAAGCAAACAGAACUAUAUUUCUGUACUUUAGAAAAAAAUAUAAACAUACAUCUUUGAGCAUUCUCAGUAGAUUAAUUUAAGCGGCAUAAUAACUAGAAACUUCUUUCAGUUUCUCCUAGAUUGGCUUGUAGUCUAUCAGUGCAGCAAGAGCUCUUGCCACUGAAAACUGAGGCGAAGAUGUCAUUGAGCAUCUCAGCUUUCUCCACACAUGAUGUAGCUGAAAGAAACACAGUGAAGAAUGGCUGAGUUAAUUUCUGAAUUAGUUGAUUUUUAUAAUAGGAGGACAUUUAAAUAAGCAGAUAAAAACAAUUGAGCCUUUUUUAAAAAAAGUAUUUAAUUAAUUAAUUAACUAAUUAAUUAAUUAAUUUGUGGCUGAAAUUAGAUGAAUUUUCACAUUAAAAUUCUGUUCAGUCCCAGCAGGUUCUUCUUCCAAUCUACUUACUGAAAUUCCAUAUUCACCACAAAUAGACCUUACAAGUUCUAUUCAAGAGUGAUACUCCUUACACAGAACUUCUAUGUCUUUGUUUUCUGACUUAAAGAUAAUUUGUAUGUAUUUGUACAUGACAUAUAUGUACAGGGUAUGUUCUACCCUCCUUUCUCUAUGUUUCAUGUAAAUCUUCUAUAGUGCAGCUGGCAAUCCCCUUUUACUCUACCAAGUAAGGCUUUUUUCCUGAAAGCUCGGGCACUUGAUGAAUCUUGUUCUUAAAGAGAAAGAGGAUAGGAGAGCAAAAGAAAGCAAAGGAGGGAUUGCUGUUUGCUUAGGUGCUUCUCCCAGUGAAAAGAGACUGCAAAUUUCAGGACUUAAAAUCACUGUGUUUGCACAUUAGGAACAUCUUAAUUUCUGUGGCUGUCCUAAUUUCUUCUAAAGUCAGAAGAGUUUGUUGAAACUUUUUUGCAAUAAAAGUACACAGAAGGAAAAUAGCAAAUUAACAUUCUCUGAUAAUUUUAUGUUUUAAUGACAUUUUGAGUUCAAAAGAAUCAAAACAGUCAAUGAAGUGGAGACUGCAUUUUUAAAUCAAUAAUUCUGAUAAGAAGUGUGAUUUCAACAUGUCCAACUAUCCUUUCAGCAAAACUGCUAAAAUUUUGUGCCAACAUUCUUAUUUCCAAAUUUCUGGAAGCUCAAGUUCAUAAGGAAUAAUUGAUAUAAAAACUGUUUGUACAUACAGAGGACAAAAUGAUUUCAAGGUGUCCAGGGAAAGGAAAAUUUAGCUUUUUAGAAUAAUUUUGGAUAGCAAUGUUCACAUUUAAAGUAUUCAAUUUCUUGCUAUGUGUAGGAAAUGAAUCCUGUUAUGGACAUACAUGAGGAACAGCAGUGCUACUUUUAAUUAAUCUUCAGAGCUAUUAAACAGAUCAGUGAAAAUCACUUCUGAAUUUAUCACACAUUAUGUUGUUCCUAAAAUUGCUACUGAAUACCUCUCUAUCUGGAUUCAUACCACCAUGACAUGGAGGCUGAAGCUGUGACCUAAGAAUCAGGUAGGAGCUGCUAUUUAAUUGGGAUGAGGAUGUCUAGUAGCACUGAAGAGUUUGACAACACAGAGUUUAGAGAGAAAUUCUAUCUUGGGGAAAAACAGUACAAUUCAUCAAAAGAUGACAGUU